UACGGAGGGUGCAAGCGUUAAUCGGAAUUACUGGGCGUAAAGCGUGCGUAGGCGGUUCGUUAAGUCUGUUGUGAAAGCCCCGGGCUCAACCUGGGAAUGGCAAUGGAUACUGGCGAGCUAGAGUGUGUCAGAGGAUGGUGGAAUUCCGGUGUAGCGGUGAAAUGCGUAGAGAUCGGGAGGAACAUCAGUGGCGAAGGGCGGCCAUCUGGGACAACACUGACGCUGAGGCACGAAAGCGUGGGGAGCAAACAGG
rnacentral:rRNA from 1 species